rnacentral:tRNA from 1 species
UCUUAAUGUGGCAGAUUAAUGCAAUGAACUUAAGAUUCAUAAAUAAAAGUAAACUUUUCAUUAAGA